AUGGGAGGCAAGUGCCCACACCGCAAGGUCAAGAAGCGCCGUCUCAACUGCAAGCAGGUGCGCCGCGGCAAGUUCCUCGUCAAGGCCGACGACGCCGUCUACGACGAGCUCGUCAAGCUGGCCGACCAGGGCAAGGAUUCCGAGGGCAAGGCGCUGCCCGUCGACGAGGACCUCCCCGGCAUGGGCCAGUUCUACUGCCUCCACUGCGAUCGGUACUUCGCGGAUGAGACAGUGAAGGAGGAUCACUACCGCUCAAAGCGCCACAAGAAAAGGGUCAAGCAGUUGUCUGGACCAGCCCCACACACGCAAAUAGAUGCCGAUCUCGCUGGUGGAAUGGGAAUGCCGGACAACGGCUUGAAGCUCAUGUCUUCCUGA
rnacentral:rRNA from 1 species